rnacentral:lncRNA from 1 species
ACAAACCCAAGAUAAAAUUUGGCACCGAAAGAGAAUAGAUGAACAACAAAACUGACCAAAAACUAAAUACGUUUGGUACCUAAAGACCAAAUUCAGCAAAUGCUCCCCAAAAAGCUCUUCCAAAUGCCAAAAAAAUAAUACACUUUUUCUCCUUAGCCGAAUUCCCAAUGUCGAAAUACCCCAAAUGGCACACACUCCCCCUCUCAUCUAAUUCCUUAAUUUUCUCCUAAGAAUACUCCCUCUAUCCCUCAUUGAUUUUCUCCACCACUUCCUCCUCA